rnacentral:rRNA from 2 species
UACAGAGGGGGCGAGCGUUAUUCGGAAUUAUUGGGCGUAAAGGGCGCGUAGGCGGCCUGACAAGUGACGGGUGAAAGCCCUCGGCUUAACCGAGGAACUGCCUGUCAUACUGUCUGGCUUGAGACCGGGAGAGGUGAGUGGAAUUCCCAGUGUAGCGGUGAAAUGCGUAGAUAUUGGGAGGAACACCAGUGGCGAAGGCGGCUCACUGGACCGGUACUGACGCUGAGGCGCGAAAGCGUGGGGAGCAAACAGG